rnacentral:tmRNA from 1 species
GGGGUUGUUACGGAUUCGACAGGCAUUAUGAGGCAUGUUUUGCGUCCCAUCGGCAGAUGUAAAUUGCCAGUUAAAUAUAACUGCAAAAAAUACAAACUCUUACGCUUUAGCUGCCUAAAAACCAGCUAGCGUGACUUCUACAAGAUUGCUUGUGUCCUGUUAGAAGUCUCAAAAUAGCAAGCUACGGUUACGAAAUUGUCUAGUUUCGUGACAAGAGAUUGAUAGACUCGCAAACUAAUGGCUUGAGUUAUGUGUCUUUAGUUUGUUAAAUGAA